rnacentral:lncRNA from 1 species
AUGCGAGAAUGUUGCUGCGGGUGGACAAGGGGUCUACACCAAUUGUGUGACCGCUCUGGUCGCGUGAACAGAGAUUGUAAGCCAAUCGUAGAGCUACCGCUAGCGCGUGCUCUGCUUGCCUGUCUAUAUAUACUUUGGAAAAACAUAAAUAAAGGGAGAACGAUCAUACUCAUAUUGAGGUUACAUCGUUACUCCGGGUCCGUCUCCCACUCCCGACAUCCUCCUCCUCCCGACACCUGGUCACGAAUGGAGGGGCUAAGUCUCAAGCCCCUGGGAUUUGCCCUAGAUGCCGAAAAGGACGUCAUUAUGCUAAUCAAUGCCGGUCUAAGUAUGAUUUCCAGGGCCAACCCAGGGAAAGCAAUCACGGAGCGCGAGGCAGCGAGGUGUGCAGACACAAGUACCACAGCCAACGUUCCAACCUCCACGGAGGGAAGCAGCAGUGCCUCAAGUCUUUGUCCAGCAAGAGCUGGUAGCACCAGAUCGGACCUAGCAACCUCCUACACAGUAACGUUACUUGAUUCCUUGGUUCACCUAUUGUCAACAAACAUCUCGGGGCCCUCACCCCCUGGAACACAAGUGCUGUUGUUAGGAAGAUCAUCUACAACAUUGUCAGGUCGUUUUGUAUUACCAGGGGUAGUUGACUCUGACAGUACUGAUGAAAUUAAGAUUGUGGUAUGGACCCCAUCUCCUCCCUGCACAAUACCUAAAGGUAGCUGUACAGCGCAAUUAAUAUUGAUUCCAGCGGGGACAAACUCCCCCGUUUCUAGUCAACCUCAACAAAGGAGGGGAGGGUUUGGAUCUACAGAGAACCUGCAAAUUCUAUGGGUACAAUCUAUUUCUCAAAAGCGACCCGUAUGUCAAUGUACCCUUAUCCGCAGAGGACAGCAAGUAGUGCUAAAUGGAAUUAUUGAUACUGGAGCUGAUGUUACAGUAAUCUCUCGUGGUAAGUGGCCCCCGCAAUGGCCUCUGGCUAACGUUUCCCAAGCAUUGGCUGGAAUUGGGGGAACUGGUAACAGCCACCAAAGUGUGGAAUCAAUCCAAAUCAAAGGUCCGAAGGGGCAUAUAGUCUCUGUUAAACUCUUUGUGUUACCCUUUCCCAUGAUUCUGUUGGGGUGUGAUGUGCUAUCACAGUGGGGAAUGUCCAUUCAGACCCAUUUUUAG